GAGUUUGAUCAUGGCUCAGAUUGACGCUGGCGGUAUGCUUAACACAUGCAAGUCGAACGGUACAGGAGAGAGCUUGCUCUUUUGCUGACGAGUGGCGGACGGGUGAGUAAUGCGUAGGAUCUGCCUAGUAGUGGGGGACACGUGUGGAACGCACGCUAAUACCGCAUACGCCCUACGGGGGAAGCGGGGGAUCUUCGGACCUCGCGCUAUUAGAUGAGCCUACGUUAGAUUAGCUAGUUGGUGGGGUAAGGCCUACCAGGCGACGAUCUAUAGCUGGUCUGAGAGGAUGAUCAGCCACACUGGGACUGAGACACGGCCCAGACUCCUACGGGAGGCAGCAGUGGGGAUAUUGGACAAUGGGCGAAAGCCUGAUCCAGCAAUACCGCGUGUGUGAAGA
rnacentral:rRNA from 1 species